CCCAAUCCCAUCGCAUCGUCUUCCUCCGCAUUGGUUCAGUCAGCGUCGAAACCAGUAAAGCCGGCGCCCUCUUCUCCCCAUUCCCAUCCACCGGUUCCACGAACCCACUUCGUCUUCUCCACCAAAGCACCGAAGCCGGUUCGUCUUCUCCACCAUAUCGACAAUCCGAAGCCCUACAGAGCAGAAAAGGUUGGCAUACCAGAGUUUUUGAAUGGAAUAGGCAAAGGGGUCAAAUCCCAUGUGGCUAAGCUUGAGUCUGAGAUUGGUGACUUUCAGAAGCUGCUUGUCUCUCGAACUCUUAAGCUCAAGAAACUUGGCAUACCAUGCCAACAGAGGAAGCUGAUAUUGAAAUAUGCCCACAAGUAUAGGCUGGGACUCUGGAGGCCUCGAGUUCAGCCUGUGAAAUCUUAAUUAGUUUCUUAAUAGCUGAUCCUACUGAGGAUUAAGAUCAAGAUGGUUGUCUGCUAGAGAACGUGAUAGCUGGACAUCUCCACAUGAAACUGUUUUAUUUUCUCCAGAGUUUUAGCAUCUUAGUGUUCGUGAUCCUUUUGAGCAAUUUUAUGGACACAAUUUAGGAGCUUAAUUCGAAGUAUUUCUGCAUGAACUGGGGUUAAACAGCCUGGUAACUGCAGCAUCAAUCAUACAAGUUAUUCUACCAUAAGAGGAGGAGGCCUUGUUAUGGAUAUGGAUUCCACCUUCAUGUACUAAGCUCAUUUUAUUGCAGACAAUUAUUGAAUUAUUUUUGGCUUUCCCAGAUAUGUCCAAUAAACAGUUACUAGAUAUUUUAAUGAGGAUGAAUGGUGCAAAUUGUUUAGAAAAAUGGUAAUUUUGGCAUCAACCAUUAACUGCAAGCUAUAGAAUAC